AGUGAACGCUGGCGGCAGGCCUAAUACAUGCAAGUCGAACGGCAGCACAGCAGAGCUUGCUCUGUGGGUGGCGAGUGGCGGACGGGUGAGGAAUACAUGGGAAUCUGCCCAGUCGUGGGGGAUAACGUAGGGAAACUUACGCUAAUACCGCAUGCGCCCUUCGGGGGAAAGCCGGGGACCUUCGGGCCUGGCGCGAUUGGAUGAGCCCAUGUCGGAUUAGCUAGUUGGCGGGGUAAUGGCCCACCAAGGCGACGAUCCGUAGCUGGUCUGAGAGGAUGAUCAGCCACACUGGAACUGAGACACGGUCCAGACUCCUACGGGAGGCAGCAGUAGGGAAUAUUGGACAAUGGGCGCAAGCCUGAUCCAGCCAUGCCGCGUGAGUGAAGAAGGCCCUCGGGUUGUAAAGCUCUUUUGUCCGGAAAGAAAAGCGCCGGGUUAAUACCCUAGUGUCCUGACGGUACCGGAAGAAUAAGCACCGGCUAACUUCGUGCCAG
rnacentral:rRNA from 1 species